rnacentral:rRNA from 1 species
AGAACGAACGCUGGCGGCGGGGCUUAGGCAUGCAAGUCGAGCGAGAAAGCGCAAGCAAGUACAGCGGCGUAAGGGUGAGUAAUAGGUAGUCAACGUACCUUCGAGACGCGGGAUAAUUCUCCGAAAAGGGGUUGUAAUACGCGAUGAGACCACGUGUCCUCCGGGACAAGGGGUCAAAAGUAGGGGAUCCUUCGGGACCUCGCGGCUCGGUGGAGCGGACGACCUCCGAUUAGCUAGAUGGCGGGGUAACGCCACCAUGGCAGUGAUCGGUAG